GAGUACCGCCAGAAGUCGGCCAUGCGUGUAGCUUCGCGGCAUACAACAACGAUUCGUAUUUCAUAGAUAGACUUAGACUACACAUUGACCCUUUAACUCUGGUCUGGUUAGCCACUGACUCCCCCCAUCUCCUUCAAACGCUCUCUCCCUUCUUCCAUCCUUCCUUUAUUUAUUUAUUUAUUAUUAUUAUUAUUCAUUUUCUUAAUCUCCUCCCGAAUCCUUGUCUUCUCCUCUCCCAUGGUGUCCAACUAGCCGGCAACAUCACCCUUUCACCUCUCUGCAAUGUUGAACCUCUUCUCUUUGUCUCACCGCAUUUUCAUUUCCAUCUUCAUCUUCCUCUUCCUCGUCUCUCCGCCGUUGCUUCCUUCCUCCGCUCUUCCUCUCUCCGACUCCGAUCAACCGCUUCUCGCUAAUACUACGCUCCAGUCCAAUAAUGUUUCCGUUCCGAGGAAUAAGGAAGGUAGUUUUGCUGACAUCAUUGAUCGUGCUUUGGAGAAUGAGUUCAAGGAGAAUGACCAGAAUGAAGCAAUUGAUUCAGGAAGCUUCAACAACAGUGUAGCAGAGCAGCAGGCAACUCUGGAGACUGUGGCAAGGGUGAAGUCAAAGAAAAAUGAUACGAAAGAGGAAAAGUUUCAGCUUCAAAACGUUUUCAAUUUGGACAGUGAUAAUAGAGCUGAAGAUACCCCUACAUUGAUUGAUCGAAAGGACAAUGUCUUUAUCAUAUCCAACUUUAAGUCUAAAUAUCCAGUGCUACAAUUAGACUUGAGAUUGAUAUCUGAUUUGGUUAUCGUAAUUGUCUCUGCAACUUGUGGCGGCAUUGCCUUUGCCUGUGCUGGACAACCAGUUAUAACUGGAUACCUUCUAGCAGGAUCUAUUAUUGGACCUGGAGGAUUUAACUUUGUCAGUGAAAUGGUUCAAGUUGAAACGGUAGCUCAAUUUGGUGUAAUUUUUCUUCUUUUUGCACUGGGUUUGGAGUUCUCAACAACUAAGCUACGAGUUGUUCGUGCAGUUGCUGUUCUUGGCGGGCUUCUUCAAAUUUUCCUAUUUAUGUGCCUCAGUGGAAUCACAGCCUCGUCAUGUGGUGGGAGUGCUUCUGAAGGAGUUUUUGUCGGAGCAUUCCUAUCUAUGUCCUCAACAGCAGUGGUGCUGAAAUUUUUGAUGGAAAAGAACUCUACUAAUGCUCUUCAUGGACAAGUCACAAUUGGCACCCUUAUUCUGCAGGACUGUGCUGUUGGGUUACUGUUUGCUUUGCUUCCAGUACUAGGUGGGAAUUCUGGUAUUCUUCAAGGAGUGAUGUCUAUGAGUAAAGUGUUGGUGAUCUUGGUUGGUUUUUUGGUUGCUUUGUCAAUUUUAUCCCGUACAUGUAUUCCUUGGCUCUUAAAACUGAUGAUAAGUCUAUCAUCACAGACCAACGAACUUUAUCAAUUAGCCUCAGUGGCGUUCUGCUUGCUUGUAGCCUGGUGUAGUGAUAAGUUGGGCCUCAGUCUAGAAUUGGGUUCCUUUGCCGCUGGAGUGAUGAUAUCCACAACUGAUCUUGCUCAACACACACUUGAACAAAUAGAGCCUAUAAGGAACUUUUUUGCGGCCCUUUUUCUUGCCAGCAUUGGAAUGCUGAUACACGUUCAGUUUUUGUGGAACCACGUUGAUAUAUUAUUAGCAGCUGUUAUACUGGUGAUAAUUGUAAAAACAAUCGUAAUUAGCACAGUGGUGAAGGGAUUUGGGUAUAACAACAGGACAGCACUUUUGGUGAGGUUGGAAUGUCUUUGGCUCAGAUAGGAGAAUUUGCUUUUGUUCUUCUCAGCCGUGCUUCUAAUCUUCAUCUAGUUGAGGGGAAACUGUAUCUAUUGCUUAUUGGGACCACAGCCCUCAGUCUGGUGACAACUCCUUUUCUUUUCAAGCUAAUACCUGCUGUAGUACAUUUAGGCGUGCUAUUGCGGUGGUUUUCUCCAGAUAGUCUCGUUGAGAUUGGAUUGAAAGGAGACAUCAUUCGCUCGGACAGUGUAAAGCAACGGGUUAUGUUGAUAGUCCAGGGACCUCACGAUUCAUGACACUGAUUGUAUGUCAAUUGAAAAUGAAAUAUCAUUUUCUUCUCAAGGAGUCAAAUUCUGGCCAGCUUAUUCCCAUGUACAAGUGAAGUCGAUUGAACCACUCUGUAUAUUUGUUCAUGUUUUUCUAGCCAUAUAAAAGCGUGUCCAGAAUCAUUUUUUUGUUUCACUUAACUGACCACUAGAUUUGGAAAAAAGAAAAAAAAAACAGAUUAGAGAGUACUAGAGAUGGAUGACCAGAUAAGAGCCAGUACAAUAGAAGAACACUAUUGUAUUUGUCUUCUUCAGUAUGACCUGAUUCUUUGUAAAAUGUAUUAUAGUUUGGAUAUUUAUAAUGAAAUUGGUACUGCACAAAAUAAUCACUAUGCCUUUUUUUGCAGUGUAAAA